AUUGAACGCUAGCGGGAUGCUUUACACAUGCAAGUCGAACGGCAGCGCGGACUUCGGUCUGGCGGCGAGUGGCGAACGGGUGAGUAAUGUAUCGGAACGUGCCCAGUAGCGGGGGAUAACUACGCGAAAGCGUAGCUAAUACCGCAUACGCCCUACGGGGGAAAGCAGGGGAUCGUAAGACCUUGCACUAUUGGAGCGGCCGAUAUCGGAUUAGCUAGUUGGUGAGGUAACGGCUCACCAAGGCGACGAUCCGUAGCUGGUUUGAGAGGACGACCAGCCACACUGGGACUGAGACACGACCCAGACUCCUACGGGAGGCAGCAGUGGGGAAUUUUGGACAAUGGGGGCAACCCUGAUCCAGCCAUCCCGCGUGUGCGAUGAAGGCCUUCGGGUUGUAAAGCACUUUUGGCAGGAAAGAAACGUCGCGGGCUAAUACCCCGUGGAACUGACGGUACCUGCAGAAUAAGCACCGGCUAACUACGUG
rnacentral:rRNA from 1 species